rnacentral:tRNA from 1 species
AGGGGAGUAGCUCAGUUGGUAGAGCGGCGGUCUCCAAAACCGUAGGUCGCAGGUUCGAGACCUGUCUCCCCUG